rnacentral:misc_RNA from 1 species
GAUGAAGAACGUAGCGAAAUGCGAUACGUAAUGUGAAUUGCAGAAUUCAGUGAAUCAUCGAAUCUUUGAACGCAUAUUGCGCUCUCUGGUAUUCCGGAGAGCAUGCUUGUUUGAGUAUCAGUAAACACCUCAACUUCCAUAUCUUUUUUGAAAUGGGAGUUGGACUUGAGUGAUCCCAACGCUUUUCCUCACCGAAAAGUGGCGGGUUACUUGAAAUGCAGGUGCAGCUGGACUUUUCUCUGAGCUAUAAGCAUAUCUAUUUAGUCUACCUAAAAAACAGAUUAUUACCUUUGCUGCAGCUAACAUAAAGGAGAUUAGUUCUUGUGCUGACUGAUGCAGGAUUCACAAAGACGGCUUCGGCCGACUUUGUAAACUCGAUCUCAAAUCAAGUAAGACUACCCGCUGAACUUAAGCAUAUCAAUAAGCGGAGGA